rnacentral:lncRNA from 1 species
GUCAAAUAACACCUAAGACCACACUGUGCCUGAGACUGUCGUGGAAGAAAUUGGAAACUUUUUAGUAGAAGAGGAGCAGACACAGAAAGGGACGUCUCAAAGUCAGCUAAGUGGUUUAUUUCUCGACGAUCCUAUAUCAUGAUAGUUUCAGUAGCCACCCUAGUUUCACGUAUGACUCGCCCAUUGGGCCCACUGGCGCCACGGGCGCCACCCUGGCCCCUGGCGCCCUGGCCUCGCUGUUUUCAACGGUACUCAAUUUGAAAUUUGAAAUGUUUUAGGUUUUAGUUGCCCCGUUGCUUUUGUGUAUGCUAGCCUGCUAGCUGUACUAGCGAUAUUACGCCCUAUAACUUCGUACAACCGCCGUCCUUAUUUUUUCUUGUGCUCGCAUAACCGCGUCGCGUAGCUUAAUUCAGGUGCAGUGCGCUGCCGUGAGGGUGAUAACCUAAAUUUGAAGACGUUAGGUCUGUUCGUAUUCGUCUUUCCUCGCUAUGGCCGAACUCGCGGAACCUGGAGGGACCGGUGGUGUUUCUUCUAAGACCGACCCAGAUAAGUACAAGUGCACGAUUUGUGACAAGUGUUUCAAGAAAAUCUACAACUUAAAGAGGCACUUAAAGGAGGUCCACGGGGAAUCUGACGCGAGCUGGGUCACACUUCCCUUUGACAGUUGCAGCCUUGCAUGCGAUCUGUGUCCAACGGCUUCUUUUGCGUUCCAUGGGGGCUUGCUGCGCCACUUUGAAGCGAAACACGAGUUCGUCGCGAGGCGCGACACCGAGCCAGAUGAAGAAAUGCCAUCAACAACACGUGAAGCAACAGGCUUUACGUUGGAUGAUGAGCCACAGUCUUUUUUAAAUGACAUCCAGCAGAGUAUUGAGGUAGGGAUGCAGACGACUCAACCAAAUUCAGAGGACGAGAUACGUUUAGCACUGAGUCGACUGAGCGAGUCCCUCUCCAAGAAGAAAUUGACAAGCUCUUCAAGCUCCUUGGUGUUGAAAUACCUUACCAAGAUCCAAGAAAUACUUGACUCUGCUCCAGAUAAAACUUCUCCUCCAGAUGAGACUUCUUUAAAACCUAGGGUAAUCCCGCACAACGAAAAGAUGGAAAAACAAGCACGGUACUUUCCCACCAAAAAGAAACGCCCUAGUUCUGGUCCCAUGCACGGCAAACCUCCCACCAGAUUGGAGCAGCAGCACAUCAUGGAGGGCCUUGUAGCCAGAGGAGUUGCUACAGGGAGAGCAGCAUCCGCUCAGCUCCCUGUGGAUGUUCCGAGCAUGUCUGUGCUGGCCCUCAAGGACCAUGACUACUUUGCUUAUCAGUAGUCGUGACAAUUGGGCUACAAAAAAGGGGCAGUGUUUCUCUUGCAAAAAGGGAUGGUGCAUUUGACAGCUUGGAUUUCUUUCCACUUUGGGAAAAUGUCAAGAGAUGCUCGAGCUAAAGGCAAGAGGGGCAUCUCUUACCAUCUUCCAACAGGUUAGGUUAGGUGAGGUAUUAUACGCUGACCUUAAUCGUAACGCUUUUUUAACAACCAGGGAUUGGCAAUUUUAUUUCAGUUGAUGCGGAAUGGUUGUCUCUAAACUAAGGGGUAACCAUAGCGCCUCGAAAUGCUCGAUUAUAAGCGUCCCCCUCGCUGAAACCAGCAAUUUUCUUCUUAAUUUUAAAUAUUGCUGCACAAGAACUUGCAGCUCUUUCUGCUUUGGAGAAUGUCAAGAGGUGCUCGAGCUAAAGGCAAGAGGGGCAUCCCUUGCCAUUCUCCAAUAGUCGGCUUCUGUUAUACGCUGACGUUCAUCAUAACAGUGUUUUAUUUUCAAAUUGUGUAGAAAGGUUUUCUAUUUAAUUUUCACCUGUUAUCAUAGUGCCUCAACACUGCCCAUUAAUUCAGUGUCCCCCUCGCUGAAACCAGCACUUUUUGUUAAUUUUAAAUAUUGCUGCACAAGAAUGUGCAGCUUUUUCCGCUUUGGAGAAUGUCAAGAGGUGCUCUAGCUAAAGGCAAGAGGGGCAUCCCUUGCCAUUCUCCAACAGUCGGCUUCUGUUAUAGGCUGACGUUAAUCGUAACAGUGUUUUAUUUUCAAAUUAUGUAGAAAGGUUUUUUUAUUUAAUUUACACUUGUUAUCAGUGCCUCAACACUGCCCAUUAAUUCAGUGUCCCCCUCACUGAAACCGGUGCUCUUUUAUUUUAGACAUUACUGCACGAGAAUGUGCAGCUCUUUCCACCUUGGAGAAUGUCAAGAGGUGCUCGAGCUAAAGGCAAGAGGGGCAUCCCUUGCCAUUCUCCAACAGGUGGCUUACGCUAUCAGCUGACCUUAAUUGGAAAAGUGUUUUAACAGCCAGAGCUUGCCAAUUUAAUUUCAAAUUGAUGCACGCAGGUUAUCUCUAAGUUAAUGUAUAACCAUAAUACCUCAAAUUGCGUGUUACAUGCUUAUUUUUUUAUUUUGCAUAUUGUUGCACAAGAAUGUAAAAGUAUCAGUUCUCGCGAUGUACCGAAUUCUUUUUUAGUAUGCGAUUCAUAUGCUUUAGGAUAUAAUGGUUUGUUGCUAAUAAGUGCCUGUAAUCACUGUUUUAUUGUUUUGUGAGCCAAAAGGGAAUGACCACUGGCGACCACAAGCAUGAGGAUCUGCUACAGCAAGCAUAAUCAUAUACCUGGACCUCGAGACUGGUGACCUUGGAGAUGUCAGCAAGGAUACACGAUGAUUUCUUCACUGCGGGGCUGUGCAGUUUAGUGGCAUGGAUCUAGUGUCUCACCUCUGAGAUAUCCAUGGCGUGUGAACAGUGCCAAGGCUGGUGGGGCCAGAAGUUUAUUGGAAGGCUUUGUCAUGCCAUGGUGAUGAACAUUCAUGACAGGCCCAUCUGCCGAACCAGCUACUCAAUAGAGGCAAGCCUGCUACGUCACUGGGACAUGGAUGCAGUGCAGUAGUCAGCGUGUGGCACUGAGUACUCCUGGGGACCAGGCCAGGAGGUGGACGUGCAACAUUUAUAUUUUGCGUAUAUUUAGUCAACCAGUUUUACUGUUGACAUUUAAGUGGGACGUUCUGUUCGUGUGGCAAAAGAUAUGCCGGGUGUGUGGUGGGGUCCCACAAAAAAUAGCUAUGCUCUGUCUUGAGCAAUGUUCAUAGAGACAUGGCAAGUUGUGUCAGUGAUGGUCACAGUUUGGGACAUGUUUUGGAUGGCUGUGUGAUUAGGUGCUGUGACCUUUGGUGGACAACUGUUGUAUUGAGUCACUGCGGCAGUGUUUUCACUAGCUUGGGAGGCAGCAUGGUAAUGCAUCAACACAGUGACAGAUUUUACUUGAAACUAAAAAUGGGGCACAAGAAUAAAACAACUUGCUGCCUCAUCGAGGCACGCCUUCAAAUAUGAA